rfam:Oikopleura dioica, whole genome shotgun assembly, reference scaffold set, scaffold scaffold_71
AGAAGGGCCCUUUUUAGGGCCACAAAUGAUAUUUUAUUGAAGCGUUU